rnacentral:rRNA from 1 species
UACGUAGGGGGCAAGCGUUGUCCGGAAUUAUUGGCGUAAAGAGCGCGUAGGCGGUCCGAUAAGUCGGCUGUGAAAGUCAGGGGCUCAACCCUUGGAAGCCGGCCGAUACUGUCGGACUAGAGUCCGGAAGAGGCGAGUGGAAUUCCCGGUGUAGCGGUGAAAUGCGCAGAUAUCGGGAGGAACACCAAUGGCGAAGGCAGCUCGCUGGGACGGUACUGACGCUGAGACGCGAAAGCGUGGGGAGCGAACAGG